GUGGGGAAUAUUGGACAAUGGGCGAAAGCCUGAUCCAGCCAUGCCGCGUGUGUGAAGAAGGUCUUCGGAUUGUAAAGCACUUUAAGUUGGGAGGAAGGGCAGUAAGUUAAUACCUUGCUGUUUUGACGUUACCGACAGAAUAAGCACCGGCUAACUUCGUGCCAGCAGCCGCGGUAAUACGAAGGGUGCAAGCGUUAAUCGGAAUUACUGGGCGUAAAGCGCGCGUAGGUGGUUUUGUAAGUUGGAGGUGAAAUCCCCGGGCUCAACCUGGGAACUGCCUCCAAAACUGCAUGACUAGAGUACGGUAGAGGGUAGUGGAAUUGCCUGUGUAGCGGUGAAAUGCGUAGAUAUAGGAAGGAACACCAGUGGCGAAGGCGACUACCUGGACUGAUACUGACACUGAGGUGCGAAAGCGUGGGGAGCAAACAGGAUUAGAUACCCGGGUAGUCC
rnacentral:rRNA from 1 species